AUACUUACCUGNCAGGGGCAAUACCAUGAUCCAGAAGGCAUUUUCCUAGUGAGAACACAUNGCUGGACUUGGCAUGUGUUGACAUAUUUGGCUUCUCCAAAUGUGAGAACCUCAACUGCAUAAUUAGUGGUGGUAGGAACUGUGUUUGUAUUCUCUAU
rnacentral:snRNA from 11 species